rnacentral:lncRNA from 1 species
UCUUCACACUUUUUUUUUAAUUUGGCAUAAAAAGAUAUAAACAGGCCCUCCCGAAUUUUGAACCUUUAUCUUUCCUAAGAACAUUUUUUAAUAAACCCAAAUAUUAGUUCGAUAUUUUGAUCAACUUAACUUUUGGAACUUGUCGUGACCCUGAUGAUAAUAAAGUUAGGAUUGGGAAGACCACGGAUGUAUAUAACAG